rnacentral:rRNA from 1 species
ACACUCCUGCGGGAGGCAGCAGUGGGGAAUUUUGGACAAUGGGCGAAAGCCUGAUCCAGCAAUGCCGCGUGAGUGAAGAAGGCCUUCGGGUUGUAGCUCUUUUGUCAGGGAAGAAACGGUGAAAGCUAAUAUCUUUUGCUAAUGACGGUACCUGAAGAAUAAGCACCGGCUAACUACGUGCCAGCAGCCGCGGUAAUACGUAGGGUGCAAGCGUUAAUCGGAAUUACUGGGCGUAAAGCGUGCGCAGGCGGUUUUGUAAGUCUGAUGUGAAAUCCCCGGGCUCAACCUGGGAAUUGCAUUGGAGACUGCAAGGCUAGAAUCUGGCAGAGGGGGGUAGAAUUCCACGUGUAGCAGUGAAAUGCGUAGAUAUGUGGAGGAACACCGAUGGCGAAGGCAGCCCCCUGGGUCAAGAUUGACGCUCAUGCACGAAAGCGUGGGGAGCAAACAGGAUUAGAAACCCGAGUAGUCC